rnacentral:lncRNA from 1 species
GUUCCGUGCGUAUCUUCUGUUACGGAAAAAAUCUUUCCGAAGGUUUUAUUCCGUUUGGACUCCGUUUAAUAUUCUUCUAUGAAAAGGGUCAAAAACACGAAAAAAUAGGAACUGACACUUGGCACUGAGUUAAUAGGUUAGUCCCAAAAGAGAUAUAAAAUAGCAUAAUCAUGCAAACAAAACAUCCAAAGUUGACAAGAUAAUAGCAUGGAACCAUCAAAAAUUAUAGAUACGUUGGAGACGUAUCAGUUUACAGGUCGCGAAAAAGGGUUCCGGCGGGUUGACGCGGGCCGCGGUAGAACAG